rnacentral:hammerhead_ribozyme from 1 species
AUCCAACUAACGAGUCCCAAAUAGGACGAAACGUGCAUCCUGGAU